rnacentral:rRNA from 1 species
GACGAACGCUGGCGGCGUGCUUAACACAUGCAAGUCGAACGAAGAGCGAUGGAAGCUUGCUUCUAUCAAUCUUAGUGGCGAACGGGUGAGUAACGCGUAAUCAACCUGCCCUUCAGAGGGGGACAACAGUUGGAAACGACUGCUAAUACCGCAUACGAUCUAAUCUCGGCAUCGAGGAUAGAUGAAAGGUGGCCUCUAUGUAUAAGCUAUCACUGAAGGAGGGGAUUGCGUCUGAUUAGCUAGUUGGAGGGGUAACGGCCCACCAAGGCGAUGAUCAGUAGCCGGUCUGAGAGGAUGAACGGCCACAUUGGGACUGAGACACGGCCCAGACUCCUACGGGAGGCAGCAGUGGGGAAUCUUCCGCAAUGGACGAAAGUCUGACGGAGCAACGCCGCGUGAGUGAUGACGGCCUUCGGGUUGUAAAGCUCUGUUAAUCGGGACGAAAGGCCUUCUUGCGAAUAGUGAGAAGGAUUGACGGUACCGGAAUAGAAAGCCACGGCUAACUACGUG